GAGGAGGGUGCGCUUCUUCAGCCUGGGAUGGGGGUUUGGGUGAGGAGGAGGAGGAGGAGGAGGAGGAGGAGGAGGGUUGUGCUUCCUCCGCCUGGGAUGUUGGAUGGUUGGAACGUGCUGCCUGAGCGGGGUGGAAAGGAGCGGGGAAAGGGAGACGAGGGGAUGCUUCCUCCUCUCCUCCUCCUCCUCCUCUCCUUCCUCAUCUUUUCCUUCGUGCUUCCUUCUUGCCUCUUCCUUUUACUCCUUCUCACUCCUCCUUUUUCCUUCUUCCUCUUUUUCCCAUUCUUCUUUCCUCUUCUUUCCUCUUCUUCUUCUUCCUCCUCCUCUUCUGCUUCCUCCUCCUCCUCCUCGGUGCCUCUGAAGGAGCAGACUCGGAGAGCUGAUAAGGCCAGAGCCAGGGCGGGGCUGGAGCAGCGACCGAGGAGAAAUCACGUGAAAUUGGGGUGGGAAAACUGAAAUAGGGUAAAAUGAGGCGGGGGGGCGAAGGUUGGGAUCCAAAUGUGUAACGGGAAAGUGAUGGAGGAAAGAUUGGCUGGAGAAGGAAGGGAGGGAAGAAGGGUUGAGAUUAAAAAUUAUGCAAAGAAAAAUGAUGGAAGAAGGGCUGAGAUGUCCGGAAAGUGUUGGAAUGAAAAGUGGAAAAUAAAGGAAAAAAAGAGCAGGGAAGAAGGAAAAAG
rnacentral:lncRNA from 1 species